rnacentral:tRNA from 12 species
CUAAGUGAGAACUUUCAAAAAUCCGUCGACUUUAAAAAUCGUGAGGGUUCAAGUCCCUCUAUCCCCA